GACGAACGCUGGCGGCGUGCCUAACACAUGCAAGUCGAACGGACGAGGCCCCUUCGGGGACCGAGUUAGUGGCGAACGGGUGAGUAACGCGUGAGCAACCUGCCUUUCAGAGAGGGACAACAGUUGGAAACGACUGCUAAUACCGCAUAACACAUUCGGGGGGCAUCCCCUGAAUGUCAAAGAUUUAUCGCUGAAAGAUGGGCUCGCGUCUGAUUAGCGAGUUGGUGAGGUAACGGCUCACCAAGGCGACGCUCAGUAGCCGGACUGAGAGGUUGAACGUCCACAUUGGGACUGAGAUACGGCCCAGACUCCUACGGGAGGCAGCAGUGGGGAAUAUUGGGCAAUGGGGGAAACCCUGACCCAGCAACGCCGCGUGAAGGAAGAAGGCCUUCGGGUUGUAAAGUUCUGAUCUUAGGGAAGAAGAAGUGACGGUACCUAAGGAGAAAGCCCCGGCUAACUACGUGCCAGCAGCCGCCGUAAUAC
rnacentral:rRNA from 1 species